UACGUAGGGGGCGAGCGUUGUCCGGAUUUAUUGGGCGUAAAGAGCGUGUAGGCGGCCAGGUAGGUCUGCUGUGAAAACUAGAGGCUCAACCUCUAGACGUCGACCGAAACCAUCUGGCUAGAGUCCGGAAGAGGAGAGUGGAAUUCCUGGUGUAGCGGUGAAAUGCGCAGAUAUCAGGAAGAACACCCGUGGCGAAGGCGGCUCUCUGGGACGGUACUGACGCUGAGACGCGAAAGCGUGGGGAGCGAACAGG
rnacentral:rRNA from 1 species